GGAAGCGGCGAGUCUCCAUGGCGGCGGCGGCUACGGCGGUGGCGGGGCCGGUGUUCUGGAGGCGGCUGCUGGGCCUCCUGCCUGGCCGCCCUGGGCUGGCCGCUCUCCUGGGGCGCCUGUCCGACCGACUCGGCAGGAACCGGGACCGCCGGCGCAGGAGGCCACCAUGGCUGUUGUUGGCGCCUCUGCUGUCUCCAGCUGUCCCCCAUGUCACCUCGCCUCCUUGCUGUCUGUGUCCGGAGGGUGUGCAUCGCUUCCAGUGGAUCAGAAACCUGGUUCCAGAGUUCGGAGUCUCCAGCUCUCACGUCAGGGUGCUUUCUUCACCUGCAGAGUUUUUUGAGCUCAUGAAGGGGCAGAUAAAAGUAGCCAAGAGGCGGGUCGUGAUGGCGUCCCUCUACCUGGGGACAGGUCCUUUGGAACAGGAACUGGUGGAUUGCCUGGAAAGCACUCUAGAAAAGUCACUCCAGACAAAGUUUCCUUCCGACCUCAGGGUGUCCAUUCUCUUAGACUUCACGCGGGGCUCAAGAGGAAGGAAAAACUCUCGCACGAUGCUGCUCCCACUCCUGCAGAGGUUUCCAGAACAGGUCCGAGUGUCUCUCUUCCACACGCCUAACCUCCGUGGGCUCCUCCGGCUCCUCAUCCCCGAGCGCUUCAACGAGACCAUCGGCCUGCAGCACAUCAAGGUGUACCUCUUCGACAACAGCGUCAUCCUGAGCGGCGCAAACCUGAGUGACUCCUACUUCACCAACCGGCAGGACCGCUACGUAUUCUUGGAGGACUGUCCUGAGAUUGCGGACUUCUUCACGGAGCUGGUGGACGCGGUGGGGGACGUGUCCCUGCAGUUGCAGGGGGACGACACGGUGCAGGUGGUGGAGGGGAUGGUGCAUCCUUACAAAGGUGACCAGGCUGCGUAUUGCAAGGCAGCCAAUCAGAGGGUUAUGGAUGUGAUCAACUCAGCCAGGACCCGCCAGCAGAUGCUGCAUGCCCAGACCUUCCACAGCAAGGCCCUCUUAACCCAGGAAGAUGCAGCAGCCGCUGGAGACCAGAGGCCAGCCCCAGACACCUGGAUUUACCCAUUGAUCCAGAUGAAGCCCUUUGAGAUUCAGAUCGAUGAGAUUGUCACUGAGACCCUGCUGACAGAGGCCGAGCGAGGCGCUAAGGUCUACCUUACCACUGGCUACUUCAACCUGACCCAGUCCUACAUGGACCUGGUCUUGGGCACGCGAGCCGAAUACCAGAUCCUGCUGGCCUCGCCGGAGGUGAACGGCUUCUUCGGGGCCAAGGGGGUGGCAGGUGCCAUCCCAGCCGCCUACGUGCAUAUUGAGCGGCAGUUCUACAGUGAGGUGUGCAGCCUGGGGCAGCAGGAGCGGGUCCAGCUGCAGGAGUACUGGCGGAGGGGCUGGACGUUUCAUGCCAAAGGCCUCUGGCUGUACCUGGCAGGGAGCAGCCUGCCCUGUCUCACGUUGAUUGGCUCUCCUAAUUUUGGGUACAGGUCAGUUCACCGGGACCUGGAGGCCCAGAUCGCCAUUGUGACAGAGAGCCGGGCCCUGCAGCAGCAGCUUCACCAGGGGCUCCCCCCCAGCUCCUUACAUCCUGGAGGACAUUUUCUUUCCCUGCACGGGAAGAGGACACUGCCCUCACUGGCAUGUGAAUGUGGCGCUGGUUCCCAACCUCUUCUGAGACUGCGGAUCAGCUAUGCGAGGGGAGCAGGCGCAGCUCUACCUGAGGUCUGGUGCGGUGUCCUCUGCCACCUUUGAGCAGCCGAGCCGGCAGGUGAAGCUGUGGGUGAAGAUGGUGACUCCGCUGAUUAAGAACUUCUUCUGAGGACAGCAGAUGCCUUAGGUGAUGCACAAAGUCAGGGAGCCCUCGAGCACCUCAGCAAGCCCCGGCCACGUGCCCGCUCGCCUGUCCUCAGCCGGGCAGCCCCACCUCGCUUCUGCCCGACAGCGACUGCGCUUCCCGCUGACUCCAAGCGGCCAGAGCAUCUCCCCAAAGCCCAGCAGCCCGUCCGCGUCCUCCCGGCCCCCACGUCCCCUGCCAGAGGCCCCAGCGGGCUCCACGCACCGUGGGGAGCUGCUCCCCGGGCUCAGAGGCUCUUGCAUUUUCUGUUGCUUGCCCCUCGGGCGUCAGCUGUCUCUACCUCGACACCCACCCCCCGGCCAAGCCUGGCUCGGGAGCCACUCUGCGGCCUGGAGCAGGCCCCAGACUCCUGCAAGUGGGGGACCAGCUUCCUGCCGACCUCGCCACCCUCCGCCACUCCAUCACUGACUGAUAUUCUAGCAAAAUAUGAUAGAAAUGAAAAACGGAUCACGUGCUCGGAUUGACAGUGAUGUCGAAAUGCUACAGAAUUCACUGCGUGCCUCCUCUCCACCUCCGUACUGACUCAGCACAGACAGAAGCAAACAGCUCUGGGACCCCGCACUGGCCUGCGGCCCCCAGUGUGAGCUGCGUCGCCCUGGGGUUUCCGUGCAUGUCCCCACAUGUUCAUCACACCCUGUUCUCACUCCUGUGAACGCGUCCACGCCCCUCACCAGACUAGGCCAGUCACCCGCGUAACGGGUCUUGUUCACUGUUCCCUGAGCCUACCACGUCCUGGGCACACGGACGUACUGUUUGGAGGAAGGACCCGGUCUGCACAUCUGUUUUCAUGCUUUCCAUUCUCUGUGACUUUACACUCUGACCUUGGUGGGUCCUUUAAGCCCAUAGGGAGAGGUUAGUGGAUGACUCAGAUAUUGUCACAUAAAUUAAUCAGAUAUAGACGUUACACAACAUUGGCACAAUGUGCUCCAUACAUAAUCUUUGUUGGGUGUUAUCAGAGAAUAUGGGGUCUCUUCUUCAAAACGGUUUUAGACUCACUUGGGAGACCAAAUGCGUGCACCCAGAAAGUUCUAGUAUAGAACAGAUGAAGAUCAGGUACCAAAAGAAUGGACGUAGAUGCUGGGGAUUUGCAGAGGGGAGCAGGGGUGCCAGGGAAGGCUACACACUUGGCAGGUUGGGGACUGGGAGGUUUGGAUGGGGGAGGAGUCACGUGAACAAAGGUCCAGGCGGACACAGCGUGGACAGGCAAGCCGAGGCCCCCCUACCCACCCUGCAGGGCCAGGGCACCCGGCGUCCCUCCACAAGGCAGUGGGGCCUACUUGUCGAGGGAGGAAGACUGGGCCCGGGACCAGAGCACGGAGACCUGUGUGGCGGGCACUACCGCCCUCCCGUCUGUCACCACCGCCCUCCAGCCGGGCGCUGCGGCCCCAUCCCCUUCGCACCCGGCCUUCCCACAGCAUCGCGUCUCACGGGGAGUGAGAGCAGGGGUCUGGGCAGCACUGUGGCCCCAGCAAGGCUGAAUGACCCUCAGGGAACCACCUCGGGAGCUCGGCCCCUUCCUAAGGUGCUCGGACAAGCAGUGGACCCGGCCCACACUUACCGGGCCUCACGUGCAGGUCAUGAAACUGAUGGAUGAUACGCGCUUCUGCUCUUUGAAGCUGUGCGCCAGGCACUUUAGAUCAUUUGCAUUUUGCACAGUCCUUCGGGGAUCUGUUCAUUUUGUGGCUCAAGGAGUGUGUGCGCGUUGGGGAUGGCGUGGGUGGGAGAGAACCGGCAGGUGCUGACGCUGGGCCAGGCACGGGACACGGGGGGAGGCCACGCUACCUGGGUGAAGAGGUCCAGGGCCUUGUGCAGGUUGGCGUACAUGCCCGUGGGCGGCUCGUUGGUGAUUUUGAUGGCGUUCUCCAGGAUGCCCUGGGGGAUGAUGUGGGACUCGGGGCUGGGGGCCGGCUCGGCACUGAUGAACACGCGGUAGUCAUCGUGGCUGCCGACGCUGUACCGCUCCAGCUUCUUGUCCAGGGUGCUCAGCCACUGGGCCACCAGGUGGAUGUUCUGCAGCCAAGACCAGGGCUUAGUGCCCGCAUACUCCUCUCCACCCCGGGCCCAUAGGGCAGGCCCCUCCCCAAUGGCACCCGCACUCCCCACCCCGCUGUCCGCCCUUCCCGGGGCGCUGGCCACGCUUGAUAAUUUCACUGAGCAACUGAGUCCCCAGAGUUGAAGCUUGUUCUCAGUUCGUUCAGGACCUCCAGCCUUGCGGCGAGUCCUUCCUGCCCUCCACCAGCAUAAGGGCUGAGAAUUAUACGGUCCCCACCCCUCCUCUGAGAGGCUUGAGUAAAAAGAAAUGACUUGGAGGGACUUCCCUGGUGGCGCAGUGGUUAAGAAUC